GGUAUGAUAGUUCAGCUAGGUUAGAACAUCGGUUUGUCACGCCGAGGGUCACGGGUUCGAAUCCCGUUCAUACCG
rnacentral:tRNA from 2 species